UUCGUUUUCCCAAAAAAAAUCUAGACAUUUCUCCCAAAUUACAAAGUAAGAGAAAACCUGUAUGCUUCUUCAUUGCCGACGUCUGGACCACUGAUCGGCGCGCACCAUUGGCCAUCGUGCGAAGACGACAGCCCACCGAAACCCAACGUCGAAAUAGCAUUUGAAGACGGCAGUCGAAUCGUAGAUGCUAGGCAAAAGUAUAUUGUUAAUUACUGAUUUAUGCAUUUCUUUAUCAAAUUUAAGGUUAAUUUAUGGUUAAGCUGUCUUAGACUUGUUUACAUGAUUUGGGUGUUAUUUCCUCUUUAUUUAGACAUAUUUGAAGUAUGUUGGUUGUGGAGCCUGACUGUUGAUAAAGUUGAAGUAUUUGAUUUCUUGUUCUUCCUAAAUUACUGAGAUUUUUCAUAAAUUUCUGAGUCUGAUUGUUAAGUUCAUUUUUCAUAAAGAGGGGUAUUUUGUUUUAGGCAAAGGUAUUUUUCAUAAAUUUCUGGGCAAAGGUAUUUUGUUCAUUUUUCAAUAAAAGGGUAUUUUUCGUAUAGAGUAUGCUUAAGUGUGCCUACUUUUGUUAAGCUACCAGAAGAAUUAUGCUUAAGUGUGCCUACUUUCGUAUGCUAAGCAUGAAGGCAAUUCUAGUUUCGUUGAGGUUGAAUGCAGCCAUAUCCUCUGUGUGUUCGUAAAUGGCAUAAGAAUAGAAGCCGGAAGAACCACGAAGCAUUAUGAACAUGAAGCAUGUAUCAUAAUAUAAGCACCAAUUCUUCAUUAUCAAACACAACAAUGAAUAUCAAGAUUAUAAACAGCAGCAGUACUGCAAUGAUGCACCUUUUGUCUAUGGGGAAGGGAGCGUGUUAGCCCUCAAAUGAGGGAUCCUAUGUCCUUUUGAAUGAGACUUCUAUUUGUUCCUCAUUUUCCACUAUAACUUUGUUUGUAAUGUGCUGUUAUUUUUAAGUUUGAAUGUGGGAUUUCAAAACUCAAUUGCAUUCAUGUGAGAUUAUUUGUUUCGUCAGCAGUUGUUGAGUAGAAUGAGAGGAAUGAAUUUCGGAGUUUGUCAUGACUAUAAAAGUAACACUCACUACUUCGAAAAAUGCCAAACAAAACGUGGAUGCCCUUCAUAUAAAAGCGGAUUUCGAAAAUGUUUUGAGGUAGAACGGGAUACUAGAAACAAAGGGCGCUUGUUCUUUACGUGUAAUAACGACUGUGGAUAUUUCGAUUGGGUGAAAAAUGAAGAUAUAAGCAGGGAGUCGAGUACCAUUAAUGAAGAGGUGAAGCAUGAGCCCAAUGAGGUAUACAAAGACUUGCCAAGAGUCUUAGAUAGCUGUAAUACCCCGAACUUCACGUUC
rnacentral:lncRNA from 1 species